rnacentral:rRNA from 1 species
GAGUGUAGGCGGUCUGUUAAGCGUGUUGUGAAAUUUAGGUGCUCAACAUUUAACUUGCAGCGCGAACUGUCAGACUUGAGUACACGCAGCGCAGGCGGAAUUCAUGGUGUAGCGGUGAAAUGCUUAGAUAUCAUGAGGAACUCCGAUCGCGAAGGCAGCCUGCGGGAGUGUUACUGACGCUUAAGCUCGAAGGUGCGGGUAUCGAACAGGAUUAGAUACCCUGGUAGUCCGCACUGUAAACGAUGGAUGCCCGCCGUUGGCGCCCUGCGCCUGCGGCCAAGCGAAAGCAUUAAGCAUCCCACCUGGGGAGUACGCCGGCAACGGUGAAACUCAAAGGAAUUGACGGGGGCCCGCACAAGCGGAGGAACAUGUGGUUUAAUUCGAUGAUACGCGAGGAACCUUACCCGGGCUUGAAUUGCAGUCGCUGCCCACAGAGA